rnacentral:misc_RNA from 1 species
GAAAUGCGAUAAGUAGUGUGAAUUGCAGAAUUCAGUGAAUCAUCGAAUCUUUGAACGCACAUUGCGCCCCUUGGUAUUCCAUGGGGCAUGCCUGUUCGAGCGUCAUUUGUACCUUCAAGCUUUGCUUGGUGUUGGGCGUCUUGUCUUUUCUCCUGUGAUCAGACUCGCCUUAAAGUCAUUGGCAGCCAGUGUUUUUGGUAGUAAGCGCAGCACAUUUUGCGUCUUAGUCCUUAAACAGCGGCAUCCAUAUAGCUACUUUUUCACUUUUGACCUCGGAUCAGGUAGGGAUACCCGCUGAACUUAA